rnacentral:rRNA from 1 species
UCGUAGGGUGACUCGUCUGGUUAACUCCGAUAACGAACGAGAUCCCGACCUCUCAUUGUCUGCAGGAUCGCUCUGUAGGUUUGACCUUGACCCUCGUGGUUUCUUGGGAAGGCUGAGAUGGCUGUAGAAAAGUCAGAGGGACGGCGCAUGUCGACAAUGCGCGGAAGAGCGGGCCAAUAA